rnacentral:tRNA from 1 species
GCUUUGAGAAGCUAAUUUUAAGCGCCGGUCUUGUAAACCGAAAUCAAGGUAACCCUCCAAAGCU